CAUCAGAGGGAAACCCCUAAGUGUUUAAGUUAAACAGUUAGACAUAAUGUACUUAAUACAUAUGUAUUGUAGGCCGAUUACUUUAACAAUAAAAUCACAAUAACUGCUUUUUUUUGGCUGUAGGACACAAGUAAAAGGAGAAGAAUGCUGCUCAGCUGGGUCGGCGGUCACACUACUUAUUCAAGAACCUCUUGGAUAUCAUUGGCAUGUAUGCAGCACAGAGUCAUUCCAGUAGGCACGGAGUCGUUCCACGAUGGACGUGAUGACCUGGCACCAAAACCGCUUAAUGUGUAUGAAGCUGUCUGCAUCGAGGGAAGAACCCAGCACUGAAGUGACACAAAUGAAAGAAGGGGACUUCUGCUCUGCUGGGUCUGCGACACUACUUAUCUGAGGAGUCCUCAAACAUCAGGAUGUAGGAAACUUGUGGUGAGAUGCCAAGAGCCAGCUUCACCGUGCUUUUGGGAGAUCAUCUACUACGUGAGCCUUGAGUAUCUACAAGCCAGCUGCUACAAGGUCCUGUACAAACUGUCAAUCUAAAUGUUGCGACAUCCCUGUCACUUCUUUUGGACUGAAUACAUGCUGUGUUUGAAAUGUAUUAUUCGGAUAACCACCCAUCAGGGAAUACCUUGUCUGUUAAUGGCGGAUAGACAUGCCAUAGACAUGCAGUGCACACUUUGAUGUUUUUUAUUUUAAUGUUUUCUAUGUUUUUCCAGUGUUCUUUUUUAUUUAUGUUCUGUUAUAUGCUGGUUAUGUAAGUAGGCCUACUGUAUGGAAUGUAGUGACUAUAGAGCCCAAGACAAAUUUCAACCUGGGGACAAAAAGUUCACUCCACUCUGUUAGCGCAGUUAUGGAUGCACUGUAAAUUUUGUAAUUAACCAAAAGUACGGUGAGAAGCCUGUUUGUGCAGAUGAACCUGCUGGCGGGCCUGUUUACUCAUAGCUAAAAAAGCAACAUAUUCUCUGUGCAAAGCACAUGGGCUCUUCGCAAAGGGGUUAAAGGGACACUGUGUGAGAUUUUUUGUUGUUUAUUUCCAGAAUUCAUGCUACCCAUUCAAUAAUGUUACCUUUUUCAUGAAUAUUUACCACCACUAUCAAAUUCUAAGUAUUCAUUAUGACUGAAAAAAAUGCAUUUUUCAUACAUGAAAAGGGGGAUCUUCUCCAUGGUCCGCCAUUUUGAAUUUCCAUAAACAGCCAUUUUUAGCUGCAAAAAUGACUGUACUUGGACCAUACUAGAAAAUAUUUGUUUAUUACUUAGUAAACGUUCAUGUAAAUAUCAAAUUUGGCAAUAGGCAACCCAGUUUCAAUGAGCAGCAUAGUUGCAGUACCUUUUUUGACUAUUUCCUGCACAGUGUCCCUUUAAACAUUUUAAUGUGCUGUUUUACAGUGUGCUAUACAAAAGGUAAGGUGAAACUAAAUUUUUGAAAUUCUAUAAUUCUACAGUGUCACUGAAAUCAAAUGGUACAUUGGUAAAACUGAACCAUUUCCUUUAACCCCUUUCAGCAGAGCCUUUACUGUCACCAAUAUUGUAAUGACUGAGUUUUAACCUGUUACUUAAGGCUCUUGGUAAUGUCAUAGCAAUGUUGCUAUGAUGUAGUUGAGUCUUUUCAGUCAUGAGUGAUCAGUCUUGCUGAUAACCCGUCUUUGCAAAGAGGAUACAAAGACGCAUGUAAAUUCAAUUAAGGUUUUAUUGCUCCAAUGCUAUCAUGUGUUAAUGCUACACUGCUGUGAUUUGCAUCUUUAUAGUAUAUUAUGAAAUGUAUUGUUAAUUACCUUCAUUGUUCAGCAAUAAAAAAAGA